rnacentral:misc_RNA from 1 species
GUGCUGCAGGAUCCUCCAAAGCUUGUGCAACUUUUGAGGAACUGAGACGGGGUGUGACAGCAUUUUUGGAGAGUGAGCAACAUAGGGUCAAGUAAACGUAUAUUCAUUCGUAAACAAGGUCAAAGACUUGGCUGUAUGAAAGGGCAUACCAAAAGGAAAGAAACUACAAAAUGUAAUGAUUCUCUAUGAACUCCACCCGAUCUUCACUACAAUUGAGAACUCUUGGGUGCACGAAAAGAAAAUAAGGAAAUCA